CACUCAAUAGAACCUUAGAAAUGCAAGGGGACGAUAUGGCCAUUACCUGAAUCCAUAGCACGUACAGCACAUCACUUUGAGUGGAGAAACGCCAAGCAACUUCAUCAUGCACACUGCUGGGGCUACUGAAUUGCAAAUCCUGAAGUGGACUGAAAUGUUAGAAAGCCUUUAUUUUGUUGGCUGAAAUGGUGCAUGGUGCUUCCUGAUAGCUGGAUUGUGGGGAUCCAACCCAGAGCAGGCGGCUGGCACGGGAGACACUCUGCUCUCUGCCUUCCCCAGGACAAACAGAAAGCUGUGCCACACAGCAGGCAUCCACACCUCCAGCUCACCUGCACGUCUCCCAGCAAGCUCCCAUCCAGCCCACAGACAGAGUAAUUGGCUGCAGUGUGAGAGGGAGGCGAGGUGUGUGGCGUGUGAAUUCAGCUUUCCCCUUCUCUUCCCCGAGAGUCUGCUGUUUAAUGCCACACAACACCACCAGCCCUCAAAAGGUGACCUUCAGAGCACAAGCUCGCAUGUUCUGUGAAAUGCUGACAUCCCUUGUGAGUGCUCAAGGGAAGAGAGGAGUGAGCCCAGAGUUUGC